CCUACGGGAGGCAGCAGUGGGGAAUAUUGGACAAUGGGGGGAACCCUGAUCCAGCCAUGCCGCGUGUGUGAAGAAGGCCCUCGGGUUGUAAAGCACUUUCAGUGAGGAAGAACGCCUGGAGGUUAAUACCCAUCAGGAAAGACAUCACUCACAGAAGAAGCACCGGCUAACUCCGUGCCAGCAGCCGCGGUAAUACGGAGGGUGCGAGCGUUAAUCGGAAUUACUGGGCGUAAAGCGCGCGUAGGUGGCUUGAUAAGCCGGUUGUGAAAGCCCCGGGCUCAACCUGGGAACGGCAUCCGGAACUGUCAAGCUAGAGUGCAGGAGAGGAAGGUAGAAUUCCCGGUGUAGCGGUGAAAUGCGUAGAGAUCGGGAGGAAUACCAGUGGCGAAGGCGGCCUUCUGGACUGACACUGACACUGAGGUGCGAAAGCGUGGGUAGCAAACAGGAUUAGAUACCCCAGUAGUC
rnacentral:rRNA from 1 species